UACGGGGGGUGCGAGCGUUGUCCGGAAUCACUGGGCGUAAAGGGCGCGUAGGUGGUUUGAUAAGGGUGUGGUGAAAGUCCGGAGCUCAACUCCGGAUCUGCCGUGCCGACUGUCAAACUCGAGGGCUGUAGAGGCAGACGGAAUUCCGGGUGUAGCGGUGAAAUGCGUUGAGAUCGGCCGGAACGCCCGUGGCGAAAGCGGGCGCCUGGACCCCGCCUGACGCUGAGACGCGAAAGCCAGGGGAGCGAACGGG
rnacentral:rRNA from 1 species